GCAGUACCUGCCGUGUCCUCUGGGGAGAACUCCCACGCCUUGGGACCCGGCUCAGCACGGUGAAAGGGCCCCAUCUGAGGUGUUCCCUGACCUUUCCUACCCCCUCUAAUGUCCAAACUAUUGGGCCUCCCCUGUUGCCUCCCCUUGAUGAAAUAAUGAUAUUUUGGGGGGCUUUGAUUGAAAAAACAGACAGGGAUUUGAGGACUUCUGAUCUUACCCCACAGAGUGGAGUUGGGGUGGGACCGGCUGGGCUGGGGUGUCGUUCACCACACAGAGUAACUGGCUUGAGGAGGUCUGUGUGGGAGUGCACCGAGGCUACCAGCACAGUGGGGGGACCCAGGCUGGUCCCCCCAUUCUCCAGCUUCCUGCUCUUGAAGCCUCCUUCCUGGCCUUCUGCAGCAGGGCCCAGUGGGUCUGGGGGCUCCCCGCCUGACUGGUUCUGUGGCGACCACUGUGCCCCAGUGCCUACCUGUGUAUCUGACUUCGCUCCCGAGUCUUCACUCGUCUAAACGCUGCAGGGGAGACGACUAACUGGUAGAAAGCCUGACUCGAUCAUUCUGAAGGCAGUGCAUCUGGGCCCCAGGCGGGGUCUCUGUAUCAGGAGCGAUAUGAGGCCGGCCAGGAGGGACCGGCCUUCACAGAUGGACAGGUAGGAACGGCUUGUAACCGUCCUGUUUAUCACGUGUAAAGGAGUUGCUUUUAAGUUUAAAGAUAUUUGAGAGUCGUUUGCUCCCAGUGACUGCGUUUUACCCCCCUUCUUUUCUUCCUGGAGAUGCUGUGGGGGUCUUUUGUUUUUCUCAUGGUCCAUCCCUCCUCCAGCCUCGCUUCCUGUCCCCACACAGUCAUUCCUCAAACAUGUCAUGUGUGCCUGCCACACGCUGGCAUUGCCCCCAGCUCAGGGCCUUCAGUGAGGGAGGAGGCAGGGUCCCUGCCAUGCCGGAGCCCCCAGAGAUGAGCAGUUCUGGUGCUGACCCUGUGUGACAAGUGCUGAGAGGGAGGCCGGGAUGGGGGUGCCGUGAGUGCCUGCCCCCAGGGGCUCCUCACUAAGCCGGGGGAGGGCGGAGGGCGGGCUCCCCCCCUGAGAAAGUCACACUAGACUUAAGGAUGAGUUUGGUUUAGAAUCCACUCACAGGCACAAUUAUGAGUGAGAUUUGGGAACCUAUGCAGGACAAUAGUCCUACCCAGCGGGUAAGGUUCACCUUCCUUUUCUCUGGGAGCCCUUCUGUGACUCUUGCUCUGCUGCUCUCUGAGCUCCUGCAGCCCUGACACCUCCAGUCACCCUUUCCAGUGCCUGAGUGACAGGCUCCCUGCCUCUGAGACCAUGGCCAAGGUCCUUCUUGGGGUCUCUCUCUAUCCCUGGUCCUCUAGGUUAGAGUGUGUUCCUUUGAGCGGGCCCCACAUCCUUCUCUUUCCUGGUGGCCCAGGAAAGCUCACAGGCUGCAGGGGCCAAGCUCUUCAAGGGCUCAGUGGUUUGACUUGUACACACUCCGGCUUGGGGGCUUCUCCAACCAAAGCACGCAAACCAAGUGAGGAACCGAGAGAUGGAAGACGUGGAAGGAAUCUACCACACAAAAACGGAACGAAACCCCAGACAAAACUAAAAGGCAAAUGACACGCUGGGGAGGAUGUUUGGAAACAUGAUAAACUAAGGAUUAAUAUUCUCAAAAAAGCAUUUGAUACAAAUCAGUAAGACGAACGUGAAGAUCCUGAUAGACAAUUUGCAGGCGACGUCCCGGUGGUUCACGUGUCUACAUGGGAAGACGCGUUCAACCCCUCGUAAGCAGAAAUGGAAACGCAAAUAGCAUGUUUCCACGUAUCGAAUUUGCAAAAGUGAGAGAAAGAAUAGCCAAGGGGAAGACCUGGAUGUCGGGAAACGGGCGCCCUCACGUAGCGCUGACAGCCGUGGUCACCAGUAGAGCUUCUGGAAGCACUUUGGGAGUGGGUCUCAACAGCCUGAGGAAUAUGCAUUCUCCACCCACGAAUCGCACUUCUGAGAACCUGUCUCAGUCACGGAUAGGGACACGGGGAAUUCCUCAUGAGAUCAUGUUAAGCAACGAAAUAACCAACAGAUGCAUGGAAAGACGGCUUCUCUGAAGAGCGCUGUGUCCUGCUCAGAGAAACUAGCCAGGGUCCAGGCACCCGUGGACUCCAGGCCAACCUGGCCAGGGCGAAGCUUUGCGUUCCAGCACCACCCCCUCUCCCUCAGCCUCGGUGGCCUCCCUCGGGUCAGUCUGCACUGGCCAGAAGGCUUGAAGGGUGAAGAGAUAAAGAAGUGUGGCCGAGAAGGGACACUGCUGAGUAAAUACAACCAGCAAUACCACAAGCUGUUUAAGGACGUCCCCUUGGAGGAGGUGGUUCUCAAAGUGUGUUCCUGUGCCCUCCAGAGAGACCUCCUUCUCCAGGGCCGGCUUUACAUCUCCCCCAACUGGCUCUGCUUCCAUGCCAGCCUCUUUGGCAAGGAUAUAAAGGUGGUCAUUCCCGUGGUGUCUGUACAAAUGAUCAAAAAACACAAGAUGGCGCGGCUUCUUCCCAAUGGCCUGGCCAUCACCACCAACACCAGCCAGAAGUACAUCUUUGUGUCACUGCUUUCCCGGGACAGCGUGUAUGACAUGCUGCGGAGGGUCUGCACACACCUCCAGCCUUCCAGCAAGAAGAGCCUGAGUGUAAGAGAAUUUCCAGAGGAACCUGAGUGCGAGUCUCUGGAAGUCCUCAUCCCUGAGAUGAAGUGGAGAAAAGUGUGCCCUGCCUCCAGGUCCCUGUCCCUCCCAGACAACAUCCCUUGUAUCCCUCGGGCGUCCAUGGACUCCACGGACAGCUUCUUUCCCUCCAGGACGCCUCCAGGGUCUGAGAAGGCCGUCUGUGAGGAGGAGAAGCUGGAGGAGGAGCCCAGGAGCGGCGGGGAGCUGAGGCUCUGGGAUUACCAGCUCCUCAAGGUCAUCUUUGUGCUGAUCUGCCUCUUGGUCAUGUCCUCAUCCUAUCUGGCGUUCCGCAUCUCCCGGCUGGAACAGCAGUUAUGCUCCCUGAAUUGGGAUGGCCCAGUCCCUGGGCACAGGCCCUUUCUCUGAUCUGGGAAUCUCCUGUGUGCAGGUAACAGCCACCUUGGCUUCUCCAAGAAGAAUGCUCUGGGUGCUAAGUUUCCACCAGUGACCCCCGUGGUUUAUGCUGCUGUUGUGCUGAGGCUGAGUAUGAAGGAAAAUACUCCAGAUCCUUCCUCCGCCCCUCAACCCUUAUCCCUCCUGUUUACAAAGCUCCUACAAUUUGGGGACUCAGACACAAAGCCAGAUUCUUGGAACCAGCUGAGAAAUUCUGUAUACUAAGCUUCAGCAAGCACUUGGAAAAAGAAAAUCAACUUGUUCCUUGGAAACAAUGUGGCACAGAGGCAGAGCACUAGCAGCCACCCAAGGGACAAAGGCAAUCUUUUGAUACCUGGAAUGCAGCUCUCCACGGUCACGUGGCUCACUGCAGUAGCGGGACAGAGGCCUGGACCCAAACCACCAGUGGGGCUCUGCUCUCUCCCAACAUCCGGUGCUCUCACUUGGGCCCCUGAGAGUCCCUGUUCUGGGGCCCAAACGGCUCCUCUGCAGGAGGCUGGGCACCUGUCAGGCCAAGGGCAGACUGGGGAAGUGAGGGGAAGCUAUGAACAAGGAGAGGAGGGUGUGUAGCUAGGGUUCCAGCCCGAGGGGAAGGUUCAUGCCCUGUGCUGAGGCUCCGUUCUGGCCCCUCAUGAGGAGGCUGGCGGAACCCAGAGGACAGGACCACGGCAGAGGACGGCGGCAGGGGCUGCGAAGGAGGGCAGAGGUCCAGCAUUCUGUGUCCUUAGCCGCCACUUCCUGGUGAGGCAGGUAAACGGGGCCUGUGAUCACUGUGGUCACAGGCCUGGUAUGCAGCUUCCCCUGUGUGCUCAGACAGUUCUGAGGUGCCCCAGGGGGCAAGUAGGGGAUGGGGGGAUAGGCGACGGGAAGGUCGGAGGCUUUGAUUUGAGCUCCGGCUUUGUACUCCCUGCCUGUCUGCCUGCAUGAGAGGCCAUGACCAAUAGCGGCCUGGUGGGGGGUGUGGCUGGGCAGCGGGGUGUGAUGGUGUUGGGGCCCCACAGGGCAGAGCUCACGAGUCUCACCUGCGAUCAGUGAGUCGCAGGCCAUGGGGGAGGGUCCUCCGCUCCAUGAAUGAGGUGGGGGUGUCCAAGGUGGGCCUGGUAUGGUGCAGGGACUGGGUCAAGGGGUUCUGUCUGAUACCUCUGGGGACAAGAGAGGUAGGGGAGGGGAAGAGUGGACACAGUGGUAGCUUUGCCUUAGAGACUCCUCCAUCUCUGCCAGGCCUCCUUUCUUCUAAACAGCUGCUCUGUGCCUCAGGCUCUGCCUGCUUUCCCUGGGGCUGUAAUAUGCUAAGACUGCCUUUGAGGGUUCUAGAAGGUUCUUAGUGAGGAGGUCAGAGGUAUCAGGCAAAGUCACUGGUGAUGGGGUGAGUGGGGCCAGAAACAGUCGCUGCUUUUCCUUCUUCAAACACCUGAGAGGUUAAUCAGGGAGAAAUCCAAGCGGAAAUUCGUUAUCGUGGAGCCAUGAUUGUCCUGUGUAUGGCAAACCCAAGUGAGGAUGUGAGGGAUGGUCUGUGGGUGACCAGUCCCUAAGCUCAGCCUAGCGGUCUCUUUGUCCUCCCCCGCUGCAGGUUCUAGGAUUAAGCUUAGGGCCUGCCUGGGGGGGUUGUUUGUACCAUAUCUUUGUGUGUCAGGUGAACUCAUAUUUUCUGUUCUCCCCACAGCACCACACGGGAUAAAACCCCAUCCUUUUUUUGGAACCCGCCCCCUUCGUCACUCCUUUGUAUCACAUUUUCAGGGAAAUAGUCCUACUUGCCCCAGUGUCUCCCCGCCUUGGUCCUUGCUGAAGGGCAGGAAGAAUACGUCCAUUCUCUGAGCCUUGCUAGAUUGAGCCAGAGGCUCAUGAGAGGCCACCAGAAGUGCCAAGUCAUGGGUAGCUGUGCCAACAUGCUGCUGAACCUGGUCCCCAGCCAUGCCCCAGGCUCAGAAAGGGCAAGAGGCCUGCUAUAGGGCAGGUGGCUCUGGAGGUCCUCUCGGGUCCAGGGAUUUCAGUGGUACUUGUACUGACAUAUUUGGCACCAAGGAGACUGGCGGAGCCCAAGUCAUUCCCAGAAUCUCAAGCACUCUGCAAAUCUCACAAGGCUGUAGCCAAGCUGCCUCAUACUUCAGGCAAAUGGGAAGGGGAAGAGCGGCCACAGCAAACCCGCGUCGCCUUCUGCCUCUGUUGGGUGGGCACCGAGAAUGCUUCCCUACUUCUCUUGGGCAGCUCCAACGCAAUGUCCCUGGUUUAAACGGUACUGUGCUUCUGAUUCAGGAAUUCAAGCCCAGAAUUCCGAGCCGGAAAAUCCCUGUGUCCUUUUCUAUGACGUCGAGCCUAGAUUAGGCAGGUUAAGUUCCAAUGUGGGCCACAUCACCUUUCUUUUCCCCUAGGAUGACCCUUCUAGUACUGAUUCAUUCAUUCAGCAAAUACUGAGCCCAGACCACAAGCCAGGUACCAUGCCAGGCACUGAGGGUAUAGCAGUGAACAUGCCAGGCAAUAUCUCUGUGUCCCCACGGCACUUCUGCUCCAUGUAAACAUAAGUUCCAAGUAGAUAUGUAAACGAGCAGAGUACGUGCAGACUGUGGUUAGGUUCCACGAAGGGAGAAAUGGUGAUAUGACAGUAGGUAGGGAGUUGGCUGUAGACGGGCGGUCAGGCAAGGUUCUCUAAAGUGACAUUUACGUUGGUGUUAAAGGAUGAGGAACCAGCCACGGGAGGAGCAUUUCGUGGCAAAUGGACCAGUCACUGCAAGACGUAGGCGAGAACGCAUACAUCUCUUCUGCACAGAGAGACUCUGCAUGACUGUAGGACACUGCUUGGGGGGAGACUGAUGUGGAAGGAGGUUGGAGAGGUCAACACCAACAACAUAUACAGCCAAUUAAAAAAUGGGUAAGGACUGUGAACGGACGUUUCUCCGAAGAAGAGAUACAGUUGGCCAACAGGCACAUGGAAAGAUGUUCAACACCGCAGUCCUUGGGGAAAUGCAAAUCAGAACCACGGUCAGGCACCAUUUCACACGCAUCAGGAUGGCUACUCUCGAACAGAAGACAAGUGUUGGUGAGGGUGUGGGCAAACUGGAGCCCUCAUGCACGGCCGGUGGGAGUGUAAAAUGGUGCCGUCACUGUGCAAAACAGCAUGACAGUUCUUCAAAAAUUAAAGGCAAUUACCAUGUGAUCCAGUAACAUCACUUCUGGUUGUGACCCCAAAAGAACCGAAAGCAGGGUUUUGAAGAGUUAUCUAUCUGCACACCCAUGUUCAGAGCAGCAUUACUCAUAAUAGCCAAAAGGUGGAAGCAACCCAGGUCGGGUGUCUGUUACCAAUGAAUGGGUAAACAAAAUGUGGUGUAUGCAUGUAAUGGAAUGUCAUUUAUCCUUUAAAAGGAGGAGAAUUCUGACACAUGCUAUAACGUGGAUGAACUUUGAGGACAUUUUGCCAAGUGAAAUAAGAGCCACAAAAAAACAAACAUUGGGGCGCCUGGGUGGCUCAGUGAGCUGAGCCACUGACUCUUGA